ensembl:lncRNA
GUGGGAGUGUUUUAAUGUGUGGAUGGGAGUGUUUUAAUGUGUGGAUGGGAGUGUUUUAAUGUGUGGAUGGGAGUGUUUUAAUGUGUGGAUGGGAGUGUUUUAAUGUGUGGAUGGGAGGAUGGCAGUUUGGUAGUGUUUUAAUGUGUGGGUGGGAGGUUGGGAGUGUUUUAAUGUGUGGAUGGCAGGUUGGGAGUGUUUUUAUGUGUGGAUGGGAGUGUUUUAAUGUUUGGAUGGGAGUGUUUUAAUGUGUGGUUGGGAGUGUUUUAAUGUGUGGAUGGGAGUGUUUUAAUGUGUGGAUGGGAGUGUUUUAAUGUGUGGAUGGGAGGUUGGCAGGUUGAGAGUGUUUUAAUGUGUGGAUCGGAGGUUGGCAGGUUGGGAGUGUUUUAUAAUGUGUGGAUGGGAGUUUGGCAGGUUGGGAGUGUUUUAAUAUGUGGAUGGCAGGUUGGGAGUGUUUUAAUGUGUGGAUGGGAGGUUGGGAGUGUUUUAAUGUGUGGAUGGCAGGUUGGGAGUGUUUUAAUGUGUGGAUGGGAGGUUGGCAGGUUGGUAGUGUUUUAAUGUGUGGAUGGGAGGUUGGCAGUUUGGGAGUGUUUUAAUGUGUGGGUGGGAGGUUGGGAGUGUUUUAAUGUGUGGAUGGCAGGUUGGUAGUGUUUUAAUGUGUGGAUGGGAGGUUGGCAGGUUGGUAGUGUUUUAAUGUGUGGAUGGCAGGUUGGGAGUGUUUUAAUGUGUGGAUUGCAGGUUGGGAGCGUGUUUAUGUGUGUGUAUGUCUGUGUGUGGCUACAGUCCCCUCUCUCUUAGCUUAGUGUUGGUAUGUCCAGUACCUUAGUGCUAUUUCACUCUGUAUUCUACC